UCAUACGGUAUUAUUAUACACAGAAAGAGUAAUGUUAUACACAUAAAUAUUAACAUUUUGUAGAGCAACAACACAAUGAAAAACCAAAAUAUGAACACCAGCAACUAAAACAGGAACCAUUAAAUGAAUAUUACACACAGCAAUAACAGCAUCAAAUAAUGGAAAUAAUGGACCCUACUGCUCAAAUCAAAAACAAAAUUUCAUCAUUACCACUUUAUUGGUUAUAUCAAUAAAAGAAAUUAUUGAGUUUAUGAGUCUAGAUCCUACAAGCAAGCAGAUCUAUCACAUAAUUUAAAAUGAAGAUUUAUCUAUUAUAGUAAUUUAUUCUAAUAAU
rnacentral:lncRNA from 1 species